ensembl:miRNA
UUGGGUAAAUUGUAUUGUUUCUUAUGACAACAAUAGCAGUUAUCUGUGAAACAUACAUUUUGCACUAA